rnacentral:rRNA from 1 species
UUGCUCUUCUUGGAUGAGUUGCGAACGGGUGAGUAACGCGUAGGUAACCUGCCUUGUAGCGGGGGAUAACUAUUGGAAACGAUAGCUAAUACCGCAUAACAAUGGAUGACACAUGUCAUUUAUUUGAAAGGGGCAAUUGCUCCACUACAAGAUGGACCUGCGUUGUAUUAGCUAGUAGGUGAGGUAAUGGCUCACCUAGGCGACGAUACAUAGCCGACCUGAGAGGGUGAUCGGCCACACUGGGACUGAGACACGGCCCAGACUCCUACGGGAGGCAGCAGUAGGGAAUCUUCGGCAAUGGGGGCAACCCUGACCGAGCAACGCCGCGUGAGUGAAGAAGGUUUUCGGAUCGUAAAGCUCUGUUGUAAGUCAAGAACGGGUGUGAGAGUGGAAAGUUCACACUGUGACGGUAGCUUACCAGAAAGGGACGGCUAACUACGUGCCAGCAGCCGCGGUAAUACGUAGGUCCCGAGCGUUGUCCGGAUUUAUUGGGCGUAAAGCGAGCGCAGGCGGUUUGAUAAGUCUGAAGUUAAAGGCUGUGGCUCAACCAUAGUUCGCUUUGGAAACUGUCAAACUUGAGUGCAGAAGGGGAGAGUGGAAUUCCAUGUGUAGCGGUGAAAUGCGUAGAUAUAUGGAGGAACACCGGUGGCGAAAGCGGCUCUCUGGUCUGUAACUGACGCUGAGGCUCGAAAGCGUGGGGAGCGAACAGGAUUAGAUACCCUGGUAGUCCACGCCGUAAACGAUGAGUGCUAGGUGUUGGAUCCUUUCCGGGAUUCAGUGCCGCAGCUAACGCAUUAAGCACUCCGCCUGGGGAGUACGACCGCAAGGUUGAAACUCAAAGGAAUUGACGGGGGCCCGCACAAGCGGUGGAGCAUGUGGUUUAAUUCGAAGCAACGCGAAGAACCUUACCAGGUCUUGACAUCCCGAUGCUAUUUCUAGAGAUAGAAAGUUACUUCGGUACAUCGGUGACAGGUGGUGCAUGGUUGUCGUCAGCUCGUGUCGUGAGAUGUUGGGUUAAGUCCCGCAACGAGCGCAACCCCUAUUGUUAGUUGCCAUCAUUCAGUUGGGCACUCUAGCGAGACUGCCGGUAAUAAACCGGAGGAAGGUGGGGAUGACGUCAAAUCAUCAUGCCCCUUAUGACCUGGGCUACACACGUGCUACAAUGGUUGGUACAACGAGUUGCGAGUCGGUGACGGCGAGCUAAUCUCUUAAAGCCAAUCUCAGUUCGGAUUGUAGGCUGCAACUCGCCUACAUGAAGUCGGAAUCGCUAGUAAUCGCGGAUCAGCACGCCGCGGUGAAUACGUUCCCGGGCCUUGUACACACCGCCCGUCACACCACGAGAGUUUGUAACACCCGAAGUCGGUGAG